GAUGAACGCUGGCGGCGUGCCUAAUACAUGCAAGUCGAGCGAAUGGAUUAAGAGCUUGCUCUUAUGAAGUUAGCGGCGGACGGGUGAGUAACACGUGGGUAACCUGCCCAUAAGACUGGGAUAACUCCGGGAAACCGGGGCUAAUACCGGAUAACAUUUUGAACCGCAUGGUUCGAAAUUGAAAGGCGGCUUCGGCUGUCACUUAUGGAUGGACCAGCAUCGCAUUAGCUAGUUGGUGAGGUAACGGCUCACCAAGGCCACGAUGCGUAGCCCACCUGAGGGGGUGAUCGCCCACACGGGGACUGAGACACGGCCCAGACUCCUACGGGAGGCAGCAGUAGGGAAUCUUCCGCAAUGGACGAAAGUCUGACGAAGCAACGCCGCGUGAGUGAUGAAGGCUUUCGGGUCGUAAAACUCUGUUGUUAGGGAAGAACAAGUGCUAGUUGAAUAAGCUGGCACCUUGACGGUACCUAACCAGAAAGCCACGGCUAACUACGUGCCAGCCGCCGCGGUAA
rnacentral:rRNA from 1 species